UGGUCAUGGCGAGCCGAUCCUCUCUCAUCGUCAAUCUUGCAUUCUAACAGCGGCAGAGUGGAUUUUCCAAUUGUGGGUUCUUCUGCACGUCGAUAUUUUCUUUACGAUUCUUCAUCUGGGAGUCUGUUGAUGGUGACUUAAGGUUUUAGUAAUGCAGUGCGUUAUUGCCGAUGACGCAAGUGUUUUGAUCGGUACUAUGGUUAGUCUGUAAAGUUAGAAAAGGUUGACAAGGGGUUCAUGCUAAUCUCGAUCGCCGAAUUCGACUAUUACUGACACUGCCACCAUUCUUUUCAAGACUUGGACGAGUUUCGAAGCUUGGGUAGUGAUAUCGUGACAGACAGGACCAAGUUUUGUUAGCUGAGGUAUCCAUCACCUUCUUGCUUGAGUGUUAACGUUGUGGUUUCUGUGGUUGUUGUGUUGAGCAUUGGAAGCUACUGGAUGCAUUCUCGUUGCCACGCUACAGAAGAUGGAGUUGUGAGUUGUUCAAUUUGAGGGUUCGUGCAUACUUUCCGUCUUGUGUUGAGUCUUAAGCAACGAUUGGAUGAGGUUUUCCGAAGGUGUGUGUGAUUGUAGGCCAUGGAGAAUCCCUUGAACUCUUCUGAAGCGCAUUUUUUUCCUCCACGCAUAGAACUUGACCUUGCGUCUGUUCUUCAUGUUGAACGAGAAUUCUUCUAGCAUGCUUGAGAUGCAAUUCAGACAUCACGAUGAGUAUGAAGGGUCUUCUAAGGAGGAUCAACAUGUGGUUGUCAUGUGGGAGCUUCAAUCGAUGUUAGCUGAGCUUUCCAUGGCUCUACGACUCGGUUAUGAUCCAACUUAAGCUGCUGUCCAAGCUGUAUAUGACUCUUCUCCUUUCCUUUUUAUUUGUCUGUUUUUGUUUUUUCAAGUGUGCUGUUUCAUUGUAAAGUAAACAGUAGAACAGAAUGAUCAAGUUGGUAGCAACAUGCAUACAGCUAUCGUUCUUUAUCAAAUUGGGCUUGCAGACUUGAAAAGUGUUGAGGGCAAUACUACAACGAAUAUUGGUUGCAACGAAUUGAUUAGGUCACAUUCUUGUAUCUACGACAUAUGAUUUUCUCAUCAAAGCUCAACAAGUAAGUAAAUUAUUGUUUUUGAGUCGGGUGCAGAACUUGAUAGAUUAUAUUAUUAUUCAACAGUAUUAGAACAGUAAUAGUUUAAUAGCAAACAGCCACAACGUUAUAUUUUAUAGCAUUGCAAUGUUAUAACGAGAUAUCUCCUAAUCAUGAAAAAUCAAAUCUGUUCUGAAAGGUAAAUAAACACUAGAUGGGAGAGUUGAUAAAAUA